UGACAUAUAAGUCAGCUGUGAAAGUUUACGGCUCAACCGUGAAAUUGCAGUUGAUACUGUAUGUCUUGAGUGUACAAGAGGUGGGCGGAAUUCGUGGUGUAGCGGUGAAAUGCUUAGAUAUCACGAAGAACUCCAAUUGCGAAGGCAGCUCACUGGGGUACAACUGACACUGAGGCUCGAAAGUGUGGGUAUCAAACAGGAUUAGAUACCCUGGUAGUCCACACAGUAAACGAUGAAUACUCGCUGUUUGCGAUAUACAGUAAGCGGCCAAGCGAAAGCAUUAAGUAUUCCACCUGGGGAGUACGCCGGCAACGGUGAAACUCAAAGGAAUUGACGGGGGCCCGCACAAGCGGAGGAACAUGUGGUUUAAUUCGAUGAUACGCGAGGAACCUUACCCGGGCUUGAAUUGCAGAGGAACAUAGUUGAAAGAUUAUGGCCGCAAGGUCUCUGUGAAGGUGCUACAUGGUUGUCGUCAGCUCGUGCCGUGAGGUGUCGGCUUAAGUGCCAUAACGAGCGCAACCCUUAUCAUUAGUUACUAACAGGUCAUGCUGAGGACUCUAGUGAGACUGCCGUCGUAAGAUGUGAGGAAGGUGGGGAUGACGUCAAAUCAGCACGGCCCUUACGUCCGGGGCUACACACGUGUUACAAUGGGGGGUACAGAGGGCAGCUACCGGGCGACCGGAUGCCAAUCCCAAAAACCUCUCUCAGUUCGGAUCGAAGUCUGCAACCCGACUUCGUGAAGCUGGAU
rnacentral:rRNA from 1 species